CUUGGGUCUGAAGAGCGUUUUCCCACAUGACCCUGGCCGAAGAGGCAAUUUAGCUAGGUCGUCUCUGUUACUGAAACAUCUCCAAGGCAUUUGUUUCAACCCUUCUGAUCUAAGUAUACAACUGCGUAUUUCUACACUGAAAAAUAGAACCCGGGCUAGGACUAUCGAUUUUGUGAAAGAGCUCAAAACAUUAAAAGGUGCAGCCCACGCACCCAUGAGGCACUGACACUCAGAGAUGCACUCAAGCCAGGAUCACAUGCAAUAGUGAGGACUGGACACAUGGCUGAUUGGAAUUGGGAUGUGCUGUGUUUGCCACUGGAAUAACUUGGAGUCAGCCGGCCGUGUAUGCUACUUUCUGCCAAAGACUUUUGGGCCAUGGGGUUUCUUCACUACAAAAAUGAGUCCUUCCUAUCCCAGAGCAAUUGUGCUUAGUCUGUAUGGCUUGGGUGGAGUUUCCUUCCACCUCCCAUCCCACAAGAAAAGUCACGUGGCCUGGCCUUCAUCAGUUCCAGCAGGUAUUCCAAGAUUCUUUGCAGUGAUUGGCUCAGAGAUAUGUAGCAAUUGUUGACAUUUGGAGUUUCUUGACUCUCUUUGAUUGCAACUUUCUGUGCCCUGUUGCAAUAAAAUUCAGUUAAUACAGUAAUUAGUAUUCUGU
rnacentral:lncRNA from 1 species